UGCGCUGCGAUCUACCGCGCGCGUGAUCGAUGCCUAUAACCUAUAACCUUGUAAACGUUGAACUGCGUUGAACAAAUAUAUUUUAUCUGCGUUUUGACGUGCGGCGGGAUUAAGUGUUAAGUGCGUGUGUGCAACCAUUCGAAAUAAGGCAAGACAAAGUCUUUUUGGAUACAAAAGAAUCACGCUCACUGGUACGCGGUCAUAAAAAAAAGGUGGAUAUAGGAUUGGCGAAAGAAGAUCCUUCUUAGUGGCGAGGAGCAGUUUUGAGAGCAAAAGCAUAUGUUAUGCGUUUAUGAUUAUGUAUCUAAUCUAAUGUGUCUGUAUGAGUGCCCUGAAUUAAUUGAAGCUUGGGGUAAUGAAUUUGAAGCUUUGUAUACCAGGUA